rnacentral:misc_RNA from 1 species
GAAAAGGCGCCCAAAAUCAAAUUAAAGCAGAGCAUUUAGGGACUUGCUUAUGCGUUUAUACUCUUAUACUGCGAGCCACCUUCGAUUCUCAUGCCAAUUCUCUGCAAUGGCUACUUCAAUUUCACAAUUUUGCUGCCCCCUCCUCAGCCCUGACACAAAACCCCGUGUUAAACAGUACCCACCUCUCAACAUUCCCAAAUUCUCUCCAUGUCGUACUAAGAUCCCUUUUUUCAAAGAGACAUGCAGGCAAUCAACUCCAAAAUAUGCUUUUCGCUCAUUUACUGAUUUGUUAACUGAACAUGUUAACUUGCUUCUGGGUAAUCUUGAUCAUGUUUAUGCCCCACUUCUAGAGCUAUGUGCAACCGAGAAGGCUCUGUUACAAGGCCAACAAAUUCAUGCCCAUAUCAUUAAGUCUAAUCUAGCGUGGAAUUCUAUGUUCUUGAACACGAAGCUUGUGUUCAUGUAUGGCAAGUGCGGUUCUAUUUUGAAUGCAAAAAGGGUGUUCGAUAAAAUGUGUGAAAGAACUAUUUUUACGUGGAACGUUAUGAUGGGUUCUUACGUUUCAAAUGGGGAACCUUUGCAAGCUCUUGAAAUGUAUAGGGAAAUGCGUUUUUUGGGUGUUCCUUUUGAUUCGUACACUUUUCCUUAUUUGCUUAAAGCGUGUGGCACAGUUGAAGAUCUUCGUUGUGGGGCUGAAAUCCAUGGUCUAGCUAUUAAAGGCGGGAAUGAUUCUAUUAUUCACGUGGCUAAUUCUCUUGUUGCCAUGUACGCAAAAUGCAAUGAUCUAAGCGGGGCAAGGAAAUUGUUUGACAGAAUGAACGAUAGAAGUGAUGUUGUGUCAUGGAAUUCAAUGAUCUCUGCCUAUUCUGGGAUUGGCCGGUGCAUAGACGCACUGGGACUCUUUAGAGAAAUUCAAAAAGCUGGUGUUGCUGCUAACUCUUAUACUAUUGUUGCUGUUCUUCAAGCAUGUGAGGAUUACUCUUUUAUGAAACUGGGUAUGGAAAUACAUGCUGCUAUCCUGAAAUCAGGCGAAUUGCUUGAUGUUUAUGUGGCCAAUGCCUUGGUAGCUAUGUACGUUAGAUUUGGCAAAAUGACCGAGGCUGCAGUAAUUUUUAAUAAGAUGGAUGAAAAGGACAUUGUCACAUGGAAUUCCAUGCUCACGGGCUUCAUCCAAAAUGGUCUCUACAGUGAAGCUUUGCAAUUCUUCUAUGAUUUGCAGGAUACUGGUUUGAAACCUGACCAGGUUUCUGUAAUAAGCAUUGUUGUGGCGUCUGGCAGGUUGGGUUAUCUGUUGAAUGGAAGGGAAAUUCAUGCUUAUGCAAUUAAGAAUGGGUUUGAUUAUAAUGUACUGGUUGGGAAUACACUUGUAGAUAUGUAUGCGAAGUGUUGUUGCAUGAUUUAUGCUGGCCGUGCUUUUGAUAAGAUGCCCAAUAAAGAUUUCAUUUCUUCGACUACUAUUGUAGCUGGCUAUGCUCAAAACAAUUGUCACAUAGAGGCUUUAGAAUUGUUCAGAGAAGUGCAGAUGGAAGGGAUGGACGUGGAUGCAAUGAUGAUAGGAAGCAUAUUGCUGGCAUGCACCGGACUGAAAUGCUUGAUACUGGUAAAAGAAAUCCAUGGUUACACUAUAAGGCGAGGUCUAUCUGAUCCAGUGCUGCAGAACACAAUUGUUGGUGCGUAUGGAGAGUGUGGUACCAUUGACUACAUGUCUCGAAUGUUCGAGUCAAUUGAAUGUAAAGAUAUUGUGUCAUGGACAAGCAUGAUAUCAUCUUAUGUCCAUAAUGGGCUUGCAAAUGAAGCUCUUGAGGUCUUUUACUCAUUCAAAGAAACUACUCUUGAACCAGAUUCUAUAACUCUAGUAAGCAUACUCUCUGCUGUUGCCAGUUUAUCAACCUUGAAGAAAGGAAAAGAGAUUCAUGGUUUCAUAAUCCGGAAGGGUUUCAUGUCAGAAAAAUCUAUAUCGAAUGCUCUUAUGGAUAUGUAUGCUCGCAGUGGAAGUCUAGAUAAUGCAUGUAAGAUAUUUAUUUGUACUAGAAAUAAAGGUUUAGUUCUGUGGACAGCUAUGAUCAACGCAUAUGGAAUGCAUGGCCGUGGGGAAGCAGCUGUUGAAUUAUUCUUGAGAAUGAAGGAUGAAAAACUAAUUCCUGAUCAUAUUACCUUUCUGGCACUUCUUUAUGCGUGCAGUCAUUCGGGAUUGAUUGAUGAAGGAAAAAGAUUUAUUGAAAUUAUGAAGAAUGAUUAUCAGUUGGAGCCAUGGCCAGAACAUUAUGCCUGUUUGGUUGAUCUUCUUGGCCGUGCAAAUCACUUAAAAGAGGCAUACCAAUUUGUGAAAAGCAUGCAGAUUGAACCUACUCCUGAAGUUUGGUGUGCACUUCUUGGGGCUUGCCGGGUUCACUCAAAUAAGGAAAUAGGAGAAAUUGCAGCACAGAAGCUCUUAGAUUUGGACAUCGAUAAUCCUGGAAAUUAUGCACUUGUGUCUAAUCUCUUUGCUGCCAGCGGUAGAUGGGAAGAUGUUGAAGGAGUGAGAAUGAAAAUGAAGGAAAGUGGACUGAAGAAAAACCCUGGAUGCAGUUGGAUUGAGGUUGGGAACAAAGUUCACACAUUCCUUGCAAGAGACAAAUCGCACCCUGAGUGUGAUAAAAUUUACCAAAAGUUAGCUCAAAUUACUGAAAAGUUGGUGAGGGAAGGAGGCUAUGUUGCUCAAACCAAGUUUGUAUUGCAUAAUGUAGGGGAAGAAGAGAAAGUUCAGAUGCUUUAUGAGCAUAGUGAAAGGCUGGCCAUUGCAUAUGGCCUAUUGGGCACUGCCAAAGGAACUCCGAUAAGAAUUACAAAGAAUCUUCGAGUUUGUGGUGAUUGUCAUACUUUCUGUAGGCUAGUUUCAAAAUUAUUUGAAAGAAAGCUGAUUGUGAGGGAUGCCAGCAGAUUUCAUCAUUUUGAAGAUGGCGCCUGCUCUUGUGGAGAUUUUUGGUGACUAAUAAGAAUUUGUAUCCGAGAAUUUGGCUUGGAAGAUCUCUUUUGGUUCAUUAUUGCUGCUUACGGUGAGGAGAAUCACUCUUUACUGGGAAGGGGUGCAGAGGUAUGAUGUUCGAGUCCUCUACUUUGGUCCAUUACAAACAGAGACAGAUAUUUGUUCAGCUCCUAACAGCAGCGGGUUGGACUUUGGGGCCUAGCAUCAUUCAGCAAGUUUUCGGCUUUAGUCUUGAAGUAACUCGGUAGUGCAAUUUGCACCUUUUUAUGCGGUCGUAUAUAGGACUUCAAUUGAUGUAGUGUUGCUAAAAGAUGCUGGGGAGAGUUGCAGAAGAUGGUUGCAUCUAGCAAUAAGCAGAGAACAGUUAAUGGAAGCAGAGCUGAAAAUCCUAUUAUUUUCAAUAAGAAUAAAAAAUAAUAUGUUUUAACUAUUGAAGGGAUGAGUAGAUUCAAAUAGGUAAGUAUAAUUCUCCUGCUCAUGUCAAUUUUGUGAUUACCUUGGUCAUAGAAGACGGAAAUUCUGAUCAUUGUAAGAUUAGAUGGAUCUCUAGUUAUCAUUUGAAGAUUGUGAAUGCAUAAAGAUUAUCUCUUUGGUUCAGAUUAUCAGUGCUUGCGGUUUUGUAAAUGGUUGGUUGUUUGGAUCAAAUGAAUUCAUAAAAUUUUGGGGAAUUCAAUUGAAUUUCAUAUAUCAUAUGUUAGGUUAUAAAAAUUUUAAAAUUGAAUUUCA